AGUUGGUGGAGUGAUUUGUCUGGUUAAUUCCGAUAACGAACGAGACUCUAGCCUACUAACUAGUGAGCAGAUCAUCAUGUCUGUCGCACUUCUUAGAGGGACAAGCGGCGUUUAGCCGCACGAAAUUGAGCAAUAACAGGU
rnacentral:rRNA from 1 species